AGCAGAAGUUCAUCUGAUUUUUUUUGAAGAAUUUAUCUAAGAUAUGGAACCUGGGAAAACAGAGGGCCCGCUGUCCCUACAGCAGAGAGGAUACAGCAACACAAGCCUUUACCCCUAAGAAGGAAGAUGUCACUUGAUCACUGUGAGAUGCUAUGUGUUCCUUGAGAUUGGUUUGUGGCCUCAGGUCACAGGGCAAAAGGAUGAGAGGAACCUGGAGGUUUAUUAGAGACAGGAGCGUAGGGGACCACAGUGGCCACUGUGAGUAUUAACUGCAGCACGGCUUUCAGGGAGGAAAUGGAUGCCCUCCUUGCCCACAUUCAGAGAGCAGCAUUGCUUUCGGAGCUUACUAACUCCUGCCAAUGCCAGCCAAAUGUCUGGUAGCACUGUUGCCGCUGGAAAGGGACCCAGUGAACACUCUCCUUUUCUGAGUAAUUUUAUGACAAAGAUGAACAAUAGGUCAGAUGGAAACCGAGAUGCCGACUGUUAGAAUCUUGGAUGUGCAGUGAAAGUGGGCAUCUUUACUUAUACAAAAUACUUAGACUGAGACUGACCCACCUGGCCUCGGGCAGUGCUGCACUUCUGCAGGCUGCUCUCUGUGGGGCCUGCCCUGGAAAACUAGCACAGAGGAGCACUUCACCCUGCAGAUGGCUGGCUUCCGAGAUGAAGAGGAUGAUAAGAAGAUGCUGAGGUGUGUGUGUCCAGUUCCUCUCCCAGAUUCGUCAACUCAGGUAAUUCACUCUAUUGCUGAAAAGUAAGGGGUAGGCUGAGAAGCCAGAAGUGCUUAGGGGAAAAUUCUUCCUCAUAGAAACCGGAGGAUUGGGAAAAUACGUUUCUUUCUUAUAAUAAGUUUUCUUGGCACAGACACCAGAAUUUUCAUGAGUGACACCAUCAGCAACAAGAAUAUUGUGGCUUUUGCAGGCAGCUUCAGGGGACUAUAGCAUAACAACGGAGAAGAUAAAUGUUUAAAGGAUACUUGCUUUCCUCAUCAUUGUCGGUGUUUUCUAGCCUAAAUGCCAGGAGUGGUUCCGAUUACAUUAGCCCAUGAAAGUGAUGCAUGGGUGGGUUUGGGAGAAAGAGAAUAAAGUUAUGAAGAACAAGAUAAAUUCAUAUACAAUCACGUAUCGUCAAAGAAUGGUAAUGCGUUAGUUAGAGACAUUUUUGGGAAUACUCACAGCUUACAGUUUAUAAUCUAAUGGAAAAGACAAAAGCCAACCAAUGCAAGAGAAAUAGCCAUUUGUAAAUAUAUAGUUUUGUUGUAGUGAGAGUUAAGUCAGUGAUUUUGUUAGUGAGUGGGGUUAAAGGGAAAGUUGACAAAGAAAGUGAACCUUGAUCUGUGAUGAUGAGGAGACGGGGAAUGUGAGAACAGGAGCCUUGAGGUUCUGGUCGUAUGGUGAAAACUCAUAGAAAUGAGCUAAAUAGUCUCUCUGAUGUCAUCCAAGGUUGGAUAUGAAAUAUUAUGAUGUUGCUGCUGCUGCUGCUGUUGAUGGAAGGAAGAUAAAUGUGACAGACGCCCACAACGUUUUUGGCAAGAAAUAAGAUUCCAUUUGGUAUGAUGCAUUUCAAGAUUCCAAUGAUGAAGGAAGCAUUUCAGAAGAGGGGAGAGGAGAAGGAAUGUGCCGCAGAGGUGAGCAUGUGGGCUUCUGAGGCAGUAAGCACUUUUAUUUGUUUAUUUGUAUAUUUAUUUAUU